CCUUAGAGUUUGAUCCUGGCUCAGGACGAACGCUGGCGGCGCGCCUAACACAUGCAAGUCGAACGAGCGAGAGAGAGCUUGCUUUCUCGAGCGAGUGGCGAACGGGUGAGUAACGCGUGAGGAACCUGCCUCAAAGAGGGGGACAACAGUUGGAAACGACUGCUAAUACCGCAUAAGCCCACAGUGCCGCAUGGCACAGAGGGAAAAGGAGCAAUCCGCUUUGAGAUGGCCUCGCGUCCGAUUAGCUAGUUGGUGAGGUAAUGGCCCACCAAGGCGACGAUCGGUAGCCGGACUGAGAGGUUGAACGGCCACAUUGGGACUGAGACACGACCCAGACUCCUACGGGAGGCAGCAGUGGGGAAUAUUGCACAAUGGGGGAAACCCUGAUGCAGCGACGCCGCGUGGAGGAAGAAGGUCUUCGGAUUGUAAACUCCUGUUGUUGAGGAAGAUAAUGACGGUACUCAACAAGGAAGUGACGGCUAACUACGUGCCAGCAGCCGCGGUAAAACGUAGGUCACAAGCGUUGUCCGGAAUUACUGGGUGUAAAGGGAGCGCAGGCGGGAAGACAAGUUGGAAGUGAAAUCCAUGGGCUCAACCCAUGAACUGCUUUCAAAACUGUUUUUCUUGAGUAGUGCAGAGGUAGGCGGAAUUCCCGGUGUAGCGGUGGAAUGCGUAGAUAUCGGGAGGAACACCAGUGGCGAAGGCGGCCUACUGGGCACCAACUGACGCUGAGGCUCGAAAGUGUGGGUAGCAAACAGGAUUAGAUACCCUGGUAGUCCACACCGUAAACGAUGAUUACUAGGUGUUGGAGGAUUGACCCCUUCAGUGCCGCAGUUAACACAAUAAGUAAUCCACCUGGGGAGUACGACCGCAAGGUUGAA
rnacentral:rRNA from 1 species